GGUUUUAUGGAAUGUACGCAGCGUUUAACGCAAUACAAUACAGACUUUCAGCAACGGAUCUCUUGGCUCUCGCAUCGAUGAAGAACGCAGCGAAAUGCGAUAAGUAAUGUGAAUUGCAGAAUUCAGUGAAUCAUCGAAUCUUUGAACGCACCUUGNGCCCUUUGUNUAUUCAAAAGGGCAUGCCUGUUUGAGUAUCAUGAACACCUCAACUCUCGUGGUUCGCCAUGANGAGCUUGGACUUUGGAGGCUUUGCUGGCCUGUGGUCGGCUCCUCUCAAAUGAAUCAGCUUACCGGUGUAUUGGUGGCGUCACAGGUGUGAUAACUAUCUACGCUUGCGGUCGUCUGCCAUACAACCUCUGGCAUCGUCAGAGGUUUGCCGGGGGCUCAUAACGUCUCCCGAGUGAAGACAGCCUUCUGACGUUUGAUCUCAAAUCAGGUAGGACUACCCGCU
rnacentral:rRNA from 1 species